rnacentral:siRNA from 1 species
UAUUGUUUGGGUGCACAUAAG